UCUGUCUCCCCGGACAUUGUUUCCAGCAAAGCAGAGCCUUGGCACUAAAGAGACUUCGCCAACUUUGCAACUGCAGCGCCUUGGUUUCCUUGACCUUUUCAACCACAAAGUAGCAGAAGACUUUAUGAAAAGCUGGAUUUACAAAAGCUGUAUUAAGACUUGAAAGUUUUAAUAAUAGGCAUGUGAAAAGGAUUGGAGGCACUACAGGCCAAAAUGGAGAACCAGCAUUAUAAUAUGAAGAAAAAAGAAUAAAAGAGGCUUUACAAAUGUAAAGAUGGAUUGUAAUAUUCCACUCCAAUGACCUUACUAUGAAAGCUACUCUCAGUGGACAUCUUCACAUCCAAUUAAAAAAGGAUCCCAGAUCAAAUCUUAAACAGAAGAGUUUUAUGAAAACGUUCAGCUUCGCAUUCUAAAACGGUCUUACUACAUUUUCAACAAACUAAUCAGUUACUGACUACUUGAUUGCACCAUGUGUUUAUGUUGAUGGAGAACUUGAAGGGUAUUCAGAAU